UUAUAAGAGGCGAGAAUCUCUUUUUCAAUUGGUAAUGGUUGUUAAAACAAUGUGUUCUGUAUGUUAAGGUUUUUUAAUUGUAGAAUAAAUUAUAUUUUAAAAGUCAAAGUCUCUCUCUCUCUCCCCCUGCAGAUGUGUUGUUAUCUCUAGCAUCCCUGCUGGUGCCUCUGCAAAUUACACCUGCAACAUGAGGGGUCGUUAUGUGAACAUCAUCAUUCCCAAUGUUAUCCAGGCUCUCACGCUCUGUGAAGUGGAAGUCUAUGGGGUUCCAGUGCCUGUUACUAAGAGGGCAUUUCUGAGAUUGAAGUUUAACAUCAGUGAGUAUCUUAUGAACCCUACUGUGAGGGACAAAAUUAUUCAAAAGGUUUGUGUUCAUGACAUGUAUGGUAGAUUCAUAAAUAAAUAAAUAAAUAAUACUAAUUUUUCAUCAUAGACGAUAUCUGCCAAUGCCCAGCCUUCAGUGCGUCAGAUCUGUUGGACUACAGAACCAGAGGUGGAAAAUGAAACUUAAAAAACGGUGGCAGAAAUAUAUCUGAAACAACAAGAAGAAGCGGAAGAAGAAGAAGAAGAAGUGUUCAAAGAACAAAAAGAAAGAAAAAACAUCAAAUGUGUGAGGUUUGGGUGUAGCACUUGAAAAUACUAGCUAACUGAUGUUAUAGGUUUAUUAAUUAGAAGUACUGGAAGUUUUUUAGUUUGUUUGUUUGGGAAAUGUAUCCAUGAAAAAUUAUUACCACAGGGUUUGUACAAGGUGCUUGAAUUUGGCAUUUGGAAAUUUAAGUACUGGAAAACCUUGAAAAUAGCCUUUUUUUAUGUUAAAAAAGUGGUUAAAAAGUGCUUGAAUGAUAAAACGUCAAUAAAUAAAAAAUAACAAUCACUUUAAAGGGUUUAUUUUCAAAAGAACACGAAUACAAUCCUUUCACUCAAAAUAUGACUCCCCGGUGCACCCCUCCUCCUCCUCCCGUUCACUCAUUCAUUUUAACAGGGACAGCUUCGGUCCACUUCUCAGACCCCUUUAGCAACUUUUUUUUUUUUUUUAAAGCAUCUAGCGACAUAUCUAGCGACUUUUUGGACAAACCUUAGCUACUUUCCAUAGAAGAUAAUGGCCAGUACUGCACAGCGAGUGCGAGGUCCUGCUUUCAGAAACAGAAAAAAUGUCCAGAAUGUCUCUGAAACACUUCAGCCUAUGAUUAGCCCUGGAUUCCUGGGAGGACACUGUAGCAGUCUCUGAGGAUUUCUUCUCAUCACUCCACUGUAAAAACAAACAAACAAAACAAACAAACAAACAA